GUACAACCCCGCCCGUCACGUCACGAAAGUUGGUAACACCCGAAGCUCAUGGCCUAACCGCGUUUGUGGGGGGAGUGGUCGAAGGUGGGAUUAGCGAUUGGGACGAAGUCGUAACAAGGUAGCCGUACCGGAAGGUGCGGCUGGAUCACCUCCUUUCUAGGGAGCCCUGUUUUUGUGGGUGGCUGCUGUUGUGGUGGUUGCCUUUUUGUUUUGGGGUUUUCUGUGGGUUGUUGUGGGAAGUUGGCAUGCUGUUGGGGUUCGGGAUAAUUGGUUCCGUGCUGCCUGUGUCUGGAUGUCACUGUUUGUGUGGUGGUGUUUGGGUGUGGUGUUGGUGUGGUGGUUGAGAAUUGUAUAGUGGACGCGAGCAUCUUUGGUUUUUUUGUAAGUGUUUAAGAGCGUUCGGUGGAUGCCUUGGCAUGUAGAGCCGAUGAAGGACGUUGUAGCCUGCGAUAAGCCUCGGGGAGUUGGCAAACGAGCUGUGAUCCGAGGGUGUCCGAAUGGGGAAACCUGGCCAGAGUUAUGUCUGGUUACCUGCGUCUGAAUGUAUAGGGCGUGUGGGGGUAACGUCGGGAACUGAAACAUCUAAGGUAC
rnacentral:misc_RNA from 1 species